rnacentral:rRNA from 1 species
AGAGUUUGAUCCUGGCUCAGGAUGAACGCUGGCGGCGUGCCUAACACAUGCAAGUCGAGCGAUUCUCUUCGGAGAAGAGCGGCGGACGGGUGAGUAACGCGUGGGUAACCUGCCCUGUACACACGGAUAACAUACCGAAAGGUAUGCUAAUACGAGAUAAUAUGCUUUUAUCGCAUGGUAGAAGUAUCAAAGCUCCGGCGGUACAGGAUGGACCCGCGUCUGAUUAGCUAGUUGGUAAGGUAACGGCUUACCAAGGCGACGAUCAGUAGCCGACCUGAGAGGGUGAUCGGCCACAUUGGAACUGAGACACGGUCCAAACUCCUACGGGAGGCAGCAGUGGGGAAUAUUGCACAAUGGGCGAAAGCCUGAUGCAGCAACGCCGCGUGAGCGAUGAAGGCCUUCGGGUCGUAAAGCUCUGUCCUCAAGGAAGAUAAUGACGGUACUUGAGGAGGAAGCCCCGGCUAACUACGUGCCAGCAGCCGCGGUAAUACGUAGGGGGCUAGCGUUAUCCGGAAUUACUGGGCGUAAAGGGUGCGUAGGUGGUUUCUUAAGUCAGAGGUGAAAGGCUACGGCUCAACCGUAGUAAGCCUUUGAAACUGGGAAACUUGAGUGCAGGAGAGGAGAGUGGAAUUCCUAGUGUAGCGGUGAAAUGCGUAGAUAUUAGGAGGAACACCAGUUGCGAAGGCGGCUCUCUGGACUGUAACUGACACUGAGGCACGAAAGCGUGGGGAGCAAACAGGAUUAGAUACCCUGGUAGUCCACGCCGUAAACGAUGAGUACUAGCUGUCGGAGGUUACCCCCUUCGGUGGCGCAGCUAACGCAUUAGGUACUCCGCCUGGGAAGUACGCUCGCAAGAGUGAAACUAUAAGGAAUUGACG